rnacentral:sRNA from 1 species
CUUGGUCAUUUAGAGGAAGUAAAAGUCGUAACAAGGUUUCCGUAGGUGAACCUGCGGAAGGAUCAUUAGUGAAUUAAACAUGCUUGGUGUCUUCGCUUCGGCAAGGCCCUUGCUUAACUCACAUCCCAACACCUGUGAACUGUAAGGCGCAUGACUAGGUUCGCCCAAGUCAUCGUCUGCCCUUUUUAACAAACAAUUAAUGUAACAAACGUAGUCUUAUUAUAACCUAAUAAAACUUUCAACAACGGAUCUCUUGGCUCUCGCAUCGAUGAAGAACGCAGCGAAAUGCGAUAAGUAAUGUGAAUUGCAGAAUUCAGUGAAUCAUCGAAUCUUUGAACGCACCUUGCGCUCUUUGGUACUCCGAAGAGCAUGCCUGUUUGAGUGUCAUGAAAAUAUCAACCUUGACUUGGGUUUUGUGCUCUAGUCUCGGCUUGGAAUUGGGUGCUUGCCGCUUUUACGAGCGGCUCACCUUAAAUGUAUUAGCUGGAUCUGUCUUUGAGACUUGGUUUGACUUGGCGUAAUAAGUAUUUCGCUAAGGACAUUCUUCGGAGUGGCCUCGUUUCUAGGACGCUUGUCCGCUUUCCAAUACAAGUUCCACCUCGUGGACAUGACUUUUUAUUAUCUGGCCUCAAAUCAGGUAGGACUACCCGCUGAACUUAAGCAUAUCAAUAAGCGGAGGAAAAGAAACUAACAAGGAUUCCCCUAGUAACGGCGAGUGAAGCGGGAAAAGCUCAAAUUUGAAAUCUGGCAGCCUCAGGUUGUCCGAGUUGUAAUCUAUAGAAACGUUUUCCGCGCUGGCCCAUGUACAAGUCCCUUGGAAUAGGGCGUCAUAGAGGGUGAGAAUCCCGUCCUUGACACGGACCACCAGUGCUUUGUGAUACGUUUUCAACGAGUCGAGUUGUUUGGGAAU